GUUACUCAGCUGGGUCUUAAUUGCAUAUGUCGUCUCUUUGGCUUGCGUUUGAGCCGCAACUUGUUAUUCAAUGGGAGGCUGUGACACCCUCUUUGUACAAGUUUCACAUGUAAGACAUAGAAGUCUUGAAUCCAAAGACACCAACAAAGAUGACAAUGGUACCGACGGUUCUUGAAAAAGCCCUAGAAGCUGUGUGGUGAUCAUAUUCUCGGGCUGAUGAAAAUAUUGCUUCCUCCCUCAUGGCCCCGCGCAUCACACAACACUCACACCUCUUCGUUGCAGUCACCAAAUUUAUUAGUUUCUCCACCUUGUGCGAGGAACAAUCCCAAUUUUUCAAUCGACGCUCCAGUCGAAAAGAAGAAGCCUCAAUGAAAUAGGCAUACGACUGGUUGUCAGUUGCCUAUUUAGCAGAAUCCAUGAUAUUGACACUGGGACCGGUGCCAUUCCCGGAUGAGAAGCUGUGAUUUCCACCCGCGAUAGCACUAUAACAACUUUCCCUUGGUAUCAGCGUUCUGAAUCAUCAUCGUCAUUGUCUUAAGAAGUUCUUUAAUAUAUUAUGUACGAUAGCGUCUACAAUCGCAUGUGUAAUCUCUAUAGUAGACAAUACUUUUUUUCUCCUUUAACAUGUUUUGUUGGUG